CUAAACCAAUGAGACUCUUGACCCCGAUACCCAAAAUGUGUGAAAUUCAUGAUCAGAGAAUCCUGAUUCUCGAUCACAGAAUUUCAGACAUGAAGAACUCUUCACCAGCUAUCAGAUCAGAUAGGAACCUCUAAUGUGUGUGACCCCACAGGUUCGAACCUAAGUCAGUAGCACAGGAACCAAUUCCUGUACUAAUCGAAGUGACCAUCUAGCAAUGGUACUCGAUGAUCGGAUAGGUCGAAUGGUCGCAAUCGCAACACUCAGAACCUACAUGAAUAUGGUUACUGUAUAAUUCAUCCUUUUGACCUCUGUGUUUAG
rnacentral:lncRNA from 1 species